UAUGUAUAAAAAAAGAAAAUGAUGCUAAGAAAAUACAAAACCCUAUUAAAAAAUCUCCGUAAAAUUGUUAGUUGUAGCAACUAAGUAAGUAAGAAAGACUACAUAACUUGCACAUCAAUUAAUUUAGGGGGAUCAUCCACCUGAAAGGUUUUGAAACAUGAAUAUUAUUAAUUACCCAUAAUAAAUUAGAAGUUACAUAGAUGAAAAAAUGUGAAUUAUGGAGAAUAAUACUAUUGAGUAAUUAUUUGAAGAGGAGAUUUUGGAAUUAUUUUUUAAAAUAUCACACUGAUAAAGAAAAAUAAACAAAAUGCUUAAAAGUUUAGAAAAAAAUAAAAUAUAAUUGGAGGUGAUUGAAAAGUACCACAUAAUCAUAUUUAUAUUUAAUAUUCUAUCUUUAUAUGUAGAUAGAUAAAUUGGUUGUAAUUAAAUAAUAAAGAGAAAUUAAUUUUUUUUUAAAAAUUUUUUUAUUGUAAUAUUUAUAAUUAGAAGAGUGUAAAAAAUAAUCAAUUAAUUUAUUGUAAUGACCCGGAAAAAUAUUUUAGGAAAUUUAAAACUAUUUCAUAGAUAUGAUUAUUAAAUUUAUGGGUAUUUAUUUAGCUAAUUGAUAAUAAUAGGCCAAAUCUGAAAAUUUUUACUUAAAACCCCUACACCACUUGGCUCAUAAUUGAGAUAAGUUAUAGGGAUUAAAUCGUGUUAGAAUAAUUUAGAAAAGGAGAAGAGACAGAAACUAACAUGUGUUUAUUUCGAAUGGAAGACGAACCCAUCUACAACAAAGAAUCAAAUUGAUUUCCACUCAGAUUAUUGAAUGAUUGGUUGAUAGUGUCAAAUAUCGUUUGGACUUUACUGCCGAGAUGCUUCGAAGUGGAAGUGAUGCAUAAAUUUGUUAAGUUUUUUUACACACUGUAGUAGAUAUUGGUUUAAAAUUGAUGGCUUUGGUGAUCAACCUAUUUUUGCUUAAGACAAUAAUACUUUAUGGGGCAUGGAACGGCACGAGAGACAAUGGAGGUAAAGUAAUUGAUUUUUAAAUUACAAAAUUAUGCCGUAGUUUUGAUUUGUAAUUAUUGAAAGAGUGCACUGUUUAAUACUCUUAUUACUUGUGCAAAGAAAAAUAGUGAAAACUCACUGAAAAUUUAUUGUAAUUUUC
rnacentral:lncRNA from 1 species